rnacentral:rRNA from 1 species
GCAGCAUGAACUUAGCUUGCUAAGUUUGAUGGCGACCGGCGCACGGGUGAGUAGCACGUAUCCAACCUUCCGUUUACUCAGGGAUAGCCUUUCGAAAGAAAGAUUAAUACCUGAUAGUAUGGUGAGAUUGCAUGAUAGCACCAUUAAAGAUUUAUUGGUAAACGAUGGGGAUGCGUUCCAUUAGGUAGUAGGCGGGGUAACGGCCCACCUAGCCGACGAUGGAUAGGGGUUCUGAGAGGAAGGUCCCCCACAUUGGAACUGAGACACGGUCCAAACUCCUACGGGAGGCAGCAGUGAGGAAUAUUGGUCAAUGGGCGAGAGCCUGAACCAGCCAAGUAGCGUGAAGGAUGAAGGUCCUACGGAUUGUAAACUUCUUUUAUACGGGAAUAAAGUUUCCUACGUGUAGGAUUUUGUAUGUACCGUAUGAAUAAGCAUCGGCUAACUCCGUGCCAGCAGCCGCGGUAAUACGGAGGAUGCGAGCGUUAUCCGGAUUUAUUGGGUUUAAAGGGAGCGCAGACGGGAGAUUAAGUCAGUUGUGAAAGUUUGCGGCUCAACCGUAAAAUUGCAGUUGAUACUGGUUUCCUUGAGUGCAGUUGAGGCAGGCGGAAUUCGUGGUGUAGCGGUGAAAUGCUUAGAUAUCACGAAGA